AAUCGGCCCCUCUGGAUAAUCGGGGAAGUAAAUAUCCUGGUUAUUUCUAGUUUGAACGGCAGAUUUAUAUAUAUUUUUUCAAAAACCCUAAAUUUUUAUCUUCCUUUGAGAGAUCACGAGAGGAAACGAACAAUGGCAAUUUAGAUCUUCCACGUUAUUUGUAAGAGAAUAUACUCUCUAGGUUUCCGGACAAGUCUCUAAGAUAACUGCCAUGUACUUGCAAACUAUGGAACGCUUAACCAAAGAUCGUGGAUUCGUCAAAAAACGAUUCCAAAAAGAAGCAAGAGAAGUGAUCGUACUGAUUCAUUCAAGCUUUUAUUCAUUGGACGUUGAUUUCAUUGCAGGCCGCCACAACACCGAAAUUAAACUCAGCAGAUUAGGUGGUCUUGGCGACUUUGAUCAAAUCGAUCACUGCGACGGUUUAUUAUUAUUACGUACCAAGGAAAAUAACAAGGCUUGUUGUGUGUAACCCGUGUUCGGGACAAACCAAGUUGAUCCAUGCUUUGAAUCAUUACACGAGUGUCAUCUUUGCCCUCAGAUACCAUAGAGAAUUGUGCGACAGCUACAAAGUUUGUAGGAUUUUGGUAGUCCAAAAAUGGGAUAUUCGGAGCUAAGGUGGAGGGCUCUUGAUGACGUCUUUCUCGGUUGCAACA